GAUGAACGCUGGCGGCGUGCCUAAUACAUGCAAGUCGAGCGAACAGACGAGGAGCUUGCUCCUCUGACGUUAGCGGCGGACGGGUGAGUAACACGUGGAUAACCUACCUAUAAGACUGGGAUAACUUCGGGAAACCGGAGCUAAUACCGGAUAAUAUAUUGAACCGCAUGGUUCAAUAGUGAAAGACGGUUUUGCUGUCACUUAUAGAUGGAUCCGCGCCGCAUUAGCUAGUUGGUAAGGUAACGGCUUACCAAGGCAACGAUGCGUAGCCGACCUGAGAGGGCGGACGGCCACACUGGGACUGGGACACGGGCCAGGGUCCUACGGGAGGGAGCAGGAGGGGAUCUUCCGGCAUGGGCGGAAGCCUGGCGGGGCAACGCCGCGUGGGGGAUGAAGGGCGUCGGGUCGGAAAACUCUGUUAUUAGGGAAGAAAAAAUGUGUAAGUAACUAUGCACGUCUUGGCGGGACCUAAUCAGAAAGCCACGGCUAACUUCGUGG
rnacentral:rRNA from 1 species